rnacentral:tRNA from 1 species
GCGUCCAUAGCUCAGAUGGUAGAGCACCUGCCUUUUAAGCAGAGGGUCGCAGGUUCGAUUCCUGCUGGACGCA